GCUCUCUGUGGCACAAUGGGUCAGUGCAUCUGGCUGUUAAGAAGAAGGUUGGUGGUUUGAGGCCACUCAGGAAUG